UUCUUGUUUUGGUUAUCAAUUUCAUGUCUGGCUAUUGUCAGCGCCUCAAUACAAUCAAUACGGAUGGCAAUGAGUAACCGCUUUUGUGCCUUGUCAUUGCCGGUCGUCAGUCGCCGGUCGACAGUCUCCAGUUGGAGCUCUCCAUCUUUUGUGGUUGCGGUUGUUUUUCUAUACGUUUAUUAUUCAUUCAGCAGGAGAAGGAGGAGUAGGGUGGGAAAUCAAGAGCUUCUGCUUUUUAUCUACAGCUUCGACUAAUUAUAAAUGUAUUAUUAUGACAGGUCUCAUGUGGUGGCAUGCCAUGUUCAUUUUUGGCGCCAUUAACCUUCAAUUGCCCAUGGCUGGCAAUCAGUUAAGUCAGUGACUUUGUCACCAACUCAACAACAACGACGACGACGACGGCGACACACGACUUGCAUCUAAAAACGCGGCGUCGUUGACAUGGAUGUGACCAAAAAUAGCUGACUAUUAACUGUGGCAAACCUCUCAACAACUGAGCCAACUAACAAGAGAAACAAUUGUCAUAGAGCGUGGGUGGGACGAGGCAAAGCAAUGCGGCAAGUUGAGUUGAGUUGAGUUCUUGCUAAAGUCAACAGCAACCCAAACAAUUUCAUAUUUAUUUACGACUGUAGAAAGUUGAACAAUGCUUACUCAGUACUGUCUGUUAUUGCUGCGCCCCAACUAAUUUAAACUAUAUACAUAAUUGUGUUUCAACUAAUCACAAGACACCUUGCUUUGAGGCGCAACUCAUUUCGGGUCUUCUUAUUGCCGCAGUAAGACAAGAGAAAAACGACACUUGGAACAAGCGAAGCGAAGCGAGCACAAAUAAUUGCAUUGAAAUUAUUUAUGUACCCAAAACUCGCCGUCACUCGACUCAUAAAAUCAUAAAAAUGGGGACCAAGAGAAGCGCCAGCACAGCGUGAAGUGCACAGCAACAAAAGCCUUGGAGGGGUGCCCAUCACAUCAAGAGAGGAAGAAGAAACAACAUCAGCUUGAGCCCAAGCCCAAACUCAUGGCUGACCCCAAGCAAAGUCAACACACAUCAAAGUGACGCGAGAAGAGGUCAAGCGUUAAGUCAUAAAAUAAAAAGAAAAAAAAACAGUGCCCCCCAUGGCUGUGAAGAGACACACCGCAGUUGCAAGGGGAAACUCGAGAAAACUCAAGACAAAUGUUAAUCAUCCGAUCUGCCAGUUGGCAGUUGCAACCUCACGAUGAUCGUCAUCACCACAGCAGCAGCAGCAGCAGUGUCAUCAUCAAGUCCGUUCAGUGACUGUCGAUGACGUUGUCAACUUUUGAUGUUAGUCAACGCCACAGCGAAACAACAUUUCCACAAAAGUCCAUGGCAAGGCUUCAGCUUUAGCUUCGGCUUCGACUUUAGUGAGGCCAGUCGAAGGCGACCUGAAUAAAAAGCAUUUUAGUAACGCGCUAAUUACAUAAAAUUGUUGUUCUUUGGAAUUACAAGUGCAACAAGUACGACUACAACAGAAGCAAUUCUCAGCUCUUAACUCUCAAUUCGCAAUUCUCAUUGCAAUCAACAGGUUCUCUGCCAAUGCAUUGAACAGCUGCUCAUACUUUCUACGCAAAAUACUUGAGAAUUAUUUACAAGAGGUGUGUUGUCAUUUCGCAUGUCUCGACAAAUUUCAGUUGUAGUCCAGGGUUAGAAGUAUUUUGUGUUAAAAUGAUUUCAAUUGCAUUAUCUGUAAUAAGCUCAAGGAAACAGAAUAAAGAAGGAAUUGAAGCUUAC